CCUACGGGUGGCAGCAGUGGGGAAUAUUGGACAAUGGGCGAAAGCCUGAUCCAGCCAUGCCGCGUGUGUGAAGAAGGCCUUCGGGUUGUAAAGCACUUUCAGUGGGGAAGAAAGCCUUGGGGCUAAUACCCUCGAGGAAGGACAUCACCCACAGAAGAAGCACCGGCUAACUCCGUGCCAGCAGCCGCGGUAAUACAGGAGGGUGCGAGCGUUAAUCGGAAUUACUGGGCGUAAAGCGCGCGUAGGCGGUCUGAUAAGCCGGUUGUGAAAGCCCCGGGCUCAACCUGGGAACGGCAUCCGGAACUGUCAGGCUAGAGUGCAGGAGAGGAAGGUAGAAUUCCCGGUGUAGCGGUGAAAUGCGUAGAGAUCGGGAGGAAUACCAGUGGCGAAGGCGGCCUUCUGGACUGACACUGACGCUGAGGUGCGAAAGCGUGGGUAGCAAACAGGAUUAGAUCCCCCAGUAGUC
rnacentral:rRNA from 1 species